UGGGGAAUCUUAGACAAUGGGCGCAAGCCUGAUCUAGCCAUGCCGCGUGAGCGAUGAAGGCCUUAGGGUUGUAAAGCUCUUUCAGUGGGGAAGAUAAUGACUGUACCCACAGAAGAAGCCCCGGCUAACUCCGUGCCAGCAGCCGCGGUAAUACGGAGGGGGCUAGCGUUGUUCGGAAUUACUGGGCGUAAAGCGCACGUAGGCGGACUGGAAAGUCAGGGGUGAAAUCCCGGGGCUCAACCCAGGAACUGCCUUUGAAACGCCCGGUCUUGAGGUCGAGAGAGGUGAGUGGAAUUCCGAGUGUGGGGGGGAAAUUCGUAGAUAUUCGGAGGAAAACCAGUGGCGAAGGCAGCCGCCUGGGCCAGUACUGACGCGCAUGAACGAAAGCGUGGGGAGCAAAC
rnacentral:rRNA from 1 species